rnacentral:rRNA from 1 species
GACGAACGCUGGCGGCGUGCUUAACACAUGCAAGUCGAGCGGUAAGGCCCUUUCGGGGGUACACGAGCGGCGAACGGGUGAGUAACACGUGGGUGACCUGCCCUUAGCUCUGGGAUAAGCCUGGGAAACUGGGUCUAAUACCGGAUAUGACUCCAUGACGCAUGUUGUGGGGUGGAAAAGCCUUGUGCGGCUAGGGAUGGGCCCGCGGCCUAUCAGCUUGUGGUGGGGUGAUGGCCUACCAAGGCGACGACGGGUAGCCGGCCUGAGAGGGCGACCGGCCACACUGGGACUGAGACACGGCCCAGACUCCUACGGGAGGCAGCAGUGGGGAAUCUUGCGCAAUGGGCGAAAGCCUGACGCAGCGACGCCGCGUGAGGGAUGACGGCC